rnacentral:rRNA from 1 species
CUUUGAUUCUGGCUCAGGAUGAACGCUAGCUACAGGCUUAACACAUGCAAGUCGAGGGGAAACGACAUCGAAAGCUUGCUUUUGAUGGGCGUCGACCGGCGCACGGGUGAGUAACGCGUAUCCAACCUGCCCACCACUUGGGGAUAACCUUGCGAAAGUAAGACUAAUACCCAAUGAUAUCUCUAGAAGACAUCUGAAAGAGAUUAAAGAUUUAUCGGUGAUGGAUGGGGAUGCGUCUGAUUAGCUUGUUGGCGGGGUAACGGCCCACCAAGGCAACGAUCAGUAGGGGUUCUGAGAGGAAGGUCCCCCACAUUGGAACUGAGACACGGUCCAAACUCCUACGGGAGGCAGCAGUGAGGAAUAUUGGUCAAUGGACGAGAGUCUGAACCAGCCAAGUAGCGUGCAGGAUGACGGCCCUAUGGGUUGUAAACUGCUUUUAUAAGGGAAUAAAGUGAGUCUCGUGAGACUUUUUGCAUGUACCUUACGAAUAAGGACCGGCUAAUUCCGUGCCAGCAGCCGCGGUAAUACGGAAGGUCCGGGCGUUAUCCGGAUUUAUUGGGUUUAAAGGGAGCGUAGGCCGGAGAUUAAGCGUGUUGUGAAAUGUAGACGCUCAACGUCUGCACUGCAGCGCGAACUGGUUUCCUUGAGUACGCACAAAGUGGGCGGAAUUCGUGGUGUAGCGGUGAAAUGCUUAGAUAUCACGAAGAACUCCGAUUGCGAAGGCAGCUCACUGGAGCGCAACUGACGCUGAAGCUCGAAAGUGCGGGUAUCGAACAGGAUUAGAUACCCUGGUAGUCCGCACGGUAAACGAUGGAUGCCCGCUGUUGGUCUGAAUAGGUCAGCGGCCAAGCGAAAGCAUUAAGCAUCCCACCUGGGGAGUACGCCGGCAACGGUGCAACUCAAAUGAAUUGACGG